AUUAGUACAGUUUAUUAGUCAAAGUCUCCCAUGUUACAGGGAUUGACUACACUGACCUUUGCGCAUUACGACUUGGAUAUCUCCCUGUACAGGGACUCAAUACUGAUUUCGUUUGUUUCUAUAGAAACUAGACUCAGAGAGGAAUCUAUAAAUAUAUGGCUUGACUCCUAAUUGUCUCUGGUUAAUUUGUAAUGAAUUUCCAAAGUCGGAACAGGAAAUCCAGAAACCGUUCUGGCCCUGUCUCACAAGAACCUGAAUAUCUCUUAACAUACUGUCCGUAUGAUUGUUUCGUUACUUUCCUAUGAAAAUAGAUUCAUCAAGGUACGUUUACAUAAUUUAUUCACUAUUUAAUUCCAUUCCUACUAUUUUUAGUGAUUUUCCAAAUCUACAUCACUGCUGCUGUCAGCAUCUGCCUUUAAGGUAGACUUUACCUAUUUCAUAGUUUCCAUGAUUCAACUAGCCCUUUUUGCAUAAAUAGCACAAUUUAUGAUAGUGAUUAACCAUUCCCAUGGCCAAUCCUUGUCAAGCAUAUCCACACCAAAUGAUUAUAACAUUAUACUCAAACAAUAUAAGCCAUUUUCGCAUGGCUAUCCAAAAUUAUACAAGUCCAAAGGGUCCAUGACCCACAACAAACGGGUAGUCCUAUACAUGCCAUUUCGAAGUUCAACCAAAAUUGUACCAAAAGGGGGGGCUUUGAUAGUGUGGGCGACUUCGACUUCAAAAUCCCGAGUCCGAUAGCUGGAGAACCAAAAUCUAUAAAACAGAGGAUCAAAGAAACGGAGUAAGCAAUUUAUGCUUAGUAAGUUUUGAGCAAGGAAUUCCAGCACAGCAAAAGUAUAGCAUUCAUAUAGCUAAACGGAUAAUUUCAUAUGCACAAAUUUUCGAUAUCAUACUUGCUUCACAUUACCAACCCUUAUGUACAUACACAAAAGAUCAACUUAGCCAAAGGCCGGUAGCUCGUUUAUCAACUGAGCGAAUACUUAUUUGUAAGGGCUCAACUAAAUUCAAGCACAUACGAAACAUACCUCAAUGUUGGGAUGUUUCUAGAGUAUUUACUGAAAUUUUUACAGCAAGAUCAUUCAUUCCCAAAUCACGUACCUUCGGAAUUUAACCGGAUAUAGCUACUCGUUCAAAUGCCUUCGGGACAUAGCCCGGUUAUAGUAACUCGCACAAUUGCCUUCGGGACUUAACCCGGAUUUUGUAACUCGCACAAAUGCCUUCGGGCUUAGCCCGGAAUUAGUAUCUUGCACAAAUGCCUUCGGAUCUUAGUCCGGAUAUGGUCACUUAGCACAAAGCCUUCAGGACUUAGCCCGGACAUCAUUCAAAUAACCAUGCACAUUUAACAAUAAAUCAUGGCACAUUCGUAUUUCGUUUUCGUUAGUAAAACUCAAACACAAGACAUUUAUCAUUCUUGCAAUUUCGGCUCAAUAGCCACACAAAGAGCAUGAUUUUGGUUUGCUUAAAACAUGAUCUAAUCAAAUCAUAAUUUAAACUCUUUUACUCAAGAACUUACCUCGGGUGUUGUCGAACGAUUCCGAUAGCUAUCCGACCACUUUUUCCUUCCCUUUAUCGGAUUUAGUUCCCCUUUGCUCUUGAGCUUAAUUAAACAAAUAAAUUGAUUUAAUCAUUUGAGCAUCGGAAAGAGGAACACAAGGCACUUAGCCCAUUUUUAUACAUUAGACAUUAAAGUCACAUAUGUACGGAAUCAUGAAUCAAACUCAAAAUUUUAGCUAAUUUUUCCCCCUUGGCCGAAUUUUCUAAGCCAAGACAAAAGCAUCAAUAUGCUUGCCUCUAACCGAAUACAUGCAACACCAAUCUCCUUCCUAUGGCCGAAUAUGCAUGUCUAUGUUGGGGCCGAUUUCAACACUUAAUACAUUCUACAAGUAUGGUCACUUGUAUUGACUAAACACCCUUUUGUUUCAAGUUCAAAACUUGGCUAAUACACACAUAUAUACACUAGUAAAGCAUCCUCUCCCUUUCCAUCAAUUUAACACAUGCAUUACUCAUUAAUAUACAAAAAUUAUAUUCGGCCUUAGCACACAACUUGCUAGCCGAUUCUUCUCCAUCUAGCAACCAAUGCACAUAUGUGCUCACUCAAAAAUGCUAAAAAGAAGAUUCAAGAAUCAUCAAUCCACCAUCACAUGCAUCAUUAACAAGCUUCAUAUUUAGCAUGCAAUGGCAUUAACACAAAAUCUACCUAGGCCGAAUAUCAUCCCCAUGACAUAGCAAAGAUUUGAACCAUGGGCUAAUUAGAACUCAAGCUAGCAACUAAAAACAUGCAUGAAUCUCAUGGCACAACCUCAAACAUACCUUGAUCUAGAUACAAGUAUGGCCAAACCUCCUCCUAAUCCUCUUCCAAACCAAACAUGAAGCAAGAACUCCUUCCUCCUUCCUUUGAAUUUUCGGCCAAAUGAAGAUGAAAAAGGAUGAACAAAAUUUUCUCUUUUCUUUUCUUUAACUCACGGCAAUGGGGGGGGGAAACAACUACACACUUUUUUUUUGUUUUCAUCAUAUUCCCUUUCAUUAUUUUAUGCCCAUGCUCCUUAUUUUAUUUUUUUCCACCCAUGAUGCACCAACACAACAUGUCUAUGACAUGUCUUGCCCAUCACACUUGGUCUACCAUGCUUGUCAUGGCCGGCCACUACUAGUUAGGGGGGAAUUUGACAUGCAAGUCCCCCCCUUUUUAUUUCAUGCUCUAAUAGGUCCUUAUGCUUCGACCUAUCACAUUUCAAAAAUGUCACACAUAAGUCCUAUUGACUAAAUUCACAUGCAAUCGACUAAAUCGAAGCUUGAAAUUUUCACACAUUCAUAAUUACAUAUUCUAGACAAUAAAUAUCACAUUCAAACAUUUCGGUGACUCGGUUUAGCGGUCCCGAAACCACUUCCCGACUAGGGUCAAUUUUGGGCUGUCACAACUCUCCCCCACUUAAGAAAUUUUCAUCCCCGAAAAUCUUACCGGUAAAUAGGUUUGGGUAUCGUUCUUUCAUCGAGCUCUCGGUUUCCCAAGUAGCUUCCUCGAUCCCGUGUUUGAGCCAUAACACCUUAACUAACGGAACCCUUUUGUUUCGCAACUCUUUCACUUCACGAGCUAGGAUACGAAUCGGUUCUUCUUCAUAACUCAAGUCAGAUUGAAUUUCAACUUCUGAGGGAUUAAUCACAUGUGACGGAUCGGAUCUAUAACGUCGAAGCAUCGAAACAUGAAAGACAUCGUGAAUCUUUUCAAGUUUAGGGGGCAAAAUCAAUCUAUACGCAACCAGACCAACUCGUUCGGAGAUUUCGUACGGCCCAAUGAAUCUCGGGCUCAACUUGCCCUUACGGCCAAAUCUGAGUACCUUUUUCCAAGGCGAAACUUUAAGAAACACUUUAUCUCCCACCUGAUAUUCAAUGUCUUUUCGUUUCAAAUCCGCAUACGAUUUUUGACGAUCUGUGGCUGCUUUCAGACUUUCACGGAUUACCUUUACUUUUUGUUCGGCAUCCUUAAUCAAAUCAACUCCGAAAAUUUUACUUUCACCGAGCUCGGUCCAAAACAAUGGUGUACGGCAUUUACGACCGUACAAAGCCUCGUAAGGUGCCAUCUUAAUACUUGAUUGAAAACUAUUGUUGUAAGCGAAUUCAAUCAAAGGUAAAUACCGUUCCCAUGAACUACUGAACUCGAGGAUGCAACAUCUCAACAUAUCCUCAAGUAUCUGAAUUAUCCGCUCAGAUUGACCAUCGGUUUGGGGGUGAAAAGCAGUGCUAAAAUGCAGCUUGGUACCCAAAGCUUCUUGCAAUUUCCUCCAAAAUCGCGAGGUGAAUCUCGGAUCUCUAUCCGACACGAUAGAAAUAGGUACCCCGUGUAAUCUCACAAUCCGAGAAACAUACAAUUCGGCUAGUUUAUCCAAUGAAAAAUCCGUACGCACGGGGAUAAAGUGAGCCGACUUAGUCAGUCUAUCAACAACAACCCAAAUCGCAUCCUUCUUACUUGCUGACAAUGGCAGUCCGGACACAAAGUCCAUUGUGACUCGAUCCCAUUUCCACUCGGGUAUCAUGAUCGGCUGAAGUAAUCCUGAAGGCACUUGAUGUUCCACUUUCACUUGUUGACAUAUUAAACAUCUCAAAACAAAGUCGGAGAUGUCUCGUUUCAUACCAUGCCACCAAAACCAACAUUUCAAAUCGUUGUACAUUUUCGUACUCCCCGGAUGAAUUGACAUUCGGCUACAAUGGGCUUCGUUCAGAAUCAUCGAAAUGAGUUCCGAAUUCCUUGGAACGCACAAACGACUUCUGAACCUCAAACAAUCAUCAUCAUCAAUUUGAAACUCCGAUUCCUUGUUCGGAACACACUCAGCCCGUUUUGCAACCAAUUCAUCAUCAACUUUCUGGGCUUCACGAAUUUGAUGAAUCAAUAAUGGUUUGGCUUUUAAUUCAGCUACUAACACAUUGUCGGGUAGAACAGACAAGUACACAUUCAUCGCUCGUAAAGCAAACAAUGAUUUCCGGCUUAAGGCGUCCGCAACCACAUUAGCCUUUCCCGGGUGGUAAUCAAUGACAAGCUCGUAAUCUUUCAACAACUCAAGCCAACGUCUUUGUCGCAGAUUUAAGUCUCUUUGAGUCAUCAAAUAUUUGAGACUUUUGUGAUCCAAAAAUACAUGGCACUUUUCACCAAAUAAGUAAUGUCGCCAUAUUUUUAAAGCAAAUACGAUGGCAGCUAGUUCAAGAUCAUGGGUCGGAUAAUUUUUCUCAUGUGGCUUUAAUUGUCUCGACGCAUAGGCCACCACUCGACCUUCUUGCAUCAAUACGCAACCCAACCCAAGUAGGGAUGCGUCACUAUAAAUGACAAACUCUUUGCCUGAUUCGGGUCGCACUAAAAUUGGAGCUUCAGUCAAAUAAGUUUUUUAGUUGAUCAAAACUUUUCUGACAUUUCUCCGUCCAUUCGAACUUAACAUCCUUUUGAAGUAGCUUCGUCAUUGGUGUGGCUAUCAUCGAGAAACCUUUGACAAAUCGUCGGUAAUAACCGGUGAGCCCCAGGAAGCUCCGAACUUCGGUAAUAUUUCUUGGAGGCUUCUAGUUAAGUAUGGCUGAAAUUUUGCUCCGGUCAACUCGAAUACCCGAUGCGGAUACCACAUGACCCAAGAAGCUAACCUCUCUUAACCAGAACUCACACUUACUGAACUUAGCAUAUAACUGCUUAUCCCACAAAAUUUGCAACACUAGUCUCAGGUGCUCAGCAUGUUCGGUCUCAUCUCUUGAAUAGACCAAGAUGUCAUCAAUGAACACAACUACGAACCGAUCCAAAUAUGGUCUGAAGAUCCGAUUCAUCAAAUCCAUAAAUACCGCAGGGGCAUUAGUGAGCCCAAACGGCAUCACUAAGAAUUCGUAGUGACCAUAUCUCGUUCUGAAGGCAGUUUUGGGUAUGUCUGAAUCUCGAAUUCGCAAUUGAUAAUAGCCCGAUCUCAAAUCUAUUUUUGAGAACACUGAGGCUCCCUUCAGUUGGUCGAACAAAUCAUCGAUACGCGGUAACGGAUAUUUGUUCUUUAUCGUCACUUUAUUCAGUUGACGAUAGUCAAUGCACAACCUCAUGGUUCCGUCCUUCUUUUUCACGAACAAUACUGGUGCACCCCAAGGUGAGAAACUUGGUCGAGCAAAACCUCUAUCCGUCAAUUCUUGCAACUGAGCUUUCAACUCUUUUAACUCGGUUGGUGCCAUACGAUAGGGAGCCAUCGAAAUCGGCGUAGUCCCAGGUACAAGCUCAAUACCAAACUCUAUCUCCCGAACAGGUGGUAAACCCGGUAAUUCUUCAGGAAAAACAUCCGGGUAUUCACAAACCACCGGCACAGAUUCGGGUUUCUUUUCUAAUUCUUUGUCAUCAAGUACAUACGCAAGGUAUGCUUCGCACCCUUUUCUUACAUAUUUCUGGGCCAACAUUGAGGAUAUUACAGCUGGCAACCCCUUUAAGUCCGUAGACUCAACUCGGAUUAUCUCUUUAUUUGCGCACCUCAAAUCAAUAGUCUUGCUUUUGCAGUUCACAACUGCAUCAUGCGCGGUCAGCCAAUCCAAACCAAGAAUAACAUCAAAUUCAUCAAAUGGCAAAAGCAUCAAGUCCGCCGAAAAACAGGAAUCUCGAAUUACUAGGGGACAUUCCUUACACACUUUGUCAACAAGCACGUAACGACCCAAGGGAUUUGACACCCGAAUUACGAACUCAGUAGACUCAAUAGGUAAAGUCUUACUGGAUGCUAAGGUUUCACAUAUGUAAGAAUGAGUAGAACCGGGGUCAAUCAAAGCAAUUACAUUAGUAUCAAAGAGAGUAAAAGUACCGGUAAUAACAUCAGGCGAAGAAGCAUCCUCGCGGGCACGUAUAGCAUAAGCUCUAGCAGGCGCACGAGCCUCGGAUCUGGUCGUAGCAUCUCUAGAUCCUCUCUGACCACCACUAGCAUUGCCCGUAUUUCCAGAUGGUCUAUCUCGAGCAGUGGUAGCACCCGGUUUCCCACUCUGAUUUACAUUCUGUUCAGACAACCUCGGGCAAUCUUUAAUGAAGUGGUCAACUGAUCCGCACUUGUAACAGGAGCGGUCAGGGAAUCUACAACUCCCCGAAUGCCAUUUACCGUAAUAUCGACAUUUCGUUCUGUCUCGACGUUCAUUCCCAACAGUGGCGACCGAAGUGCCUCGUGUACCCACAGGGGGUCGAUCAUGAUCUCGUCUAAAAAGGCCCGAAGUGCCUCUAGACCGGCCCACAUCAUCUCGAAAUUUCUUCGAUGCCUGUUGAAGAGACUUUCCCGAGGAUCUUUUACGAAACUCUCCAGUUCCCACAUCAACUUUUUGUUUUUCUUUUCUAAGCUCUUCGGCUUUACAAGCUCGCUCGACAAGUACUACGAACUCUCGUAUUUCAAGAAUGCCCACGAACAUUUUUAUAUCUUCAUUCAGCCCAUCCUCGAAGCGUUUACACAUGAUAGCCUCGGACGAAACACAUUCCCGAGCGUAUCUACUAAGUCUAACAAAUUUUCGCUCGUAAUCAGUAACCGACAUAGAACCUUGCUUAAGCUCAAGAAAUUCCUUCCGUUUUUGAUCAACAAAUCUCUGACUGAUAUACUUUUUCCGAAACUCAGUUUGGAAAAAACUCCCAAGUUACUUGCUCUCGGGGCACAACAGAAGUCAGAGUAUUCCACCAAUAGUAGGCAGAAUCGCGUAGCAAGGAGAUAGUACACUUUAGGCAUUCAUCGGGUGUACAAGAUAGCUCAUCGAGUACCCGGAUAGUGUUGUCCAACCAAAAUUCAGCUUGCUCGGCAUCAUCGCUAUCCGUAGCUUUAAAUUCAGUAGCCCCAUGUUUUCGGAUUCUGUCAACUGGGGGCUUAUUUGACCUUAUUUGGUCAGUUACCGGAGGUAUUGUAGGUGCGGGGGUGGUAUUUGUCGGGAAUGGAGGUUGUGGAACAGCCGUAUUAGUUCGAAUGUAUUGGUUGAACCAAUCAUUCAUCACGCUAUAGAAAGCUUGUCUAGCUUCAUCAUUCGGGUUACUAGCAUUAGGUUGAGAGUCCACCGGCGCUGUCCCUUGUGCGGGAGUAGGCGCUACACUCUCAAGAUCAUCAGCUACCGCUCGGUCGGGAUCGGGAUCCAUUACUAUAAAUAAACACAUUUGCAAAUGUCAGAAAUCACCACACUAUCAAAUAAUCACAUAAAAUGGCAUGUAUAGCUAGACCCAACGCAUUACGAUAGUCCUAGAAUCGACUAAACCGUAGCUCUGAUACCAAUCAAAUGUAACGCCCUGAACCCGAGGCCAUCGCCGGAGUCGAACACGAGGUGUUAACAGACUUCAAACCACUUAAAAAAAAUUUCCAAACAAGCUGCCAGUCUGCACACUAGUCGCUUUAAAAAUCAUAUCUUGAGUUCUGAAACUCGAAAUCCAGUUCCGUAAAUUUUCCCUGAAACUAGACUCAUAUACCCAUCUACAUAUUUUUUUCUAUAAUUUUUGGUUAGGCCAAUUAGUACAUUUUAUUAGUCAAAGUCUCCCAUGUUAUAGGGAUCGACUACACUGACCUUUGCGAAUUACGACUUGGAUAUCUCCAUGUACAGGGCUUCAAUACUGAUUCCAUUUGUUUCUAUAGAAACUAGACUCAGAGAGGAAUCUAUACAUAUAUGUCUUGACUCCUAAUUGUCUAUGGUUAAUUUGUAAUUAAUUUCCAAAGUCGGAACAGGAAAUCCAGAAACCGUUCUGGCCCUGUCUCACAAGAACCUGAAUAUCUCUUAACAU
rnacentral:lncRNA from 1 species